UACAUAUCAUCCACUAUCACUCUGCUGGGGGAGCAAGAGCACAGUAGAUUUACUGGUCAUAAAAUAGUGCCAUACA